rnacentral:lncRNA from 10 species
AUUUCUUUGUAUGUAGCUCAUACAUAUUUGUAUGUAGCUCAUACAUAUUGUAUUUCUUUGUUUGUAUUAUAUAUAUAUAAUUAUUUCUUUGUAUGUAGCUCAUAUUCACUUGAAGAGUCUUUGGAGUGGAAUAAAACAAUGUUCACAAUCGGUGGUAGUUUUUAUUGCCUGUAAAGAGAAUGCAAUGAUUUCAUAUUAAUUUUUGAGAUAUGGAAUAUUUUAAGGAAUGUAAGAUAAACAUUGAAAUAUCAUGUGUAAAGAUUAUGAAAGUGUAAUUGCUGUGUAAUAAUAACAUGACUCCCUUGCACAUGCUGUUCUGGAUAAGGUGGUAAGGUUCUCUACAAUCUUGUACACUCUUCAUUAGAAGUUUCACACUAGGUGGGAAUGCAUAUCCUGGACGCUGGACAAAUAUUGGUCUUCAGUUUUAGGCAGUAUUCAGAUAGAUAUUGGAAGUCAAGAUUUAUUUAUAUACUUUUAAAAGUUGGAAUCUCAAUGGAUUAUUUUUAAGCAAAAUUGAACUAAGAACAUUUUCCCUUUCUUAUGCAGGGAAAUCAGAGGACUCAGGCAGUUCAUGGAGGCAGCAGGAAUGUUGUUAUUUCAAGGAUUUGAUGUACUAUUUUACUUUUCUGUCCAGAAGUGCUUUAGCAAACACCAAGGAAUCAUAUCAAAAUAUUUGAAGAUUAUGGGAAAAGAGAAGGUAAAGAUUUGAACUUUGUCUUUCUAGUUGUCUUUUUCCCCUUACACUUGGUAAAUACAAUUCAAAGAAAGAAGAUUAACUCACUCUAUUAAAAUAAGCUGUUUAAUUUUUGAGAUUAUGAAAUGAUUAUUUAUAAGAAAAUUAGAAAAAUUUAUAGCAAAUUUAGAAAACAAAUAAAAACAUAAAAAGUAAACUUUAUCAAUCAUACCUUAACUGCUAAAAGAAGCUACAAGAUAGCAACAUAUAUAAAAUUUGUUUUAUUAUGUGUACAUACAUAUUCCAUAAUUUAGAUUAUAUAACAUAUUAUUGGAUCAGAUUGGAUUUUAGUGUCAUGCCACAAUCAAUAUUUUAUUUCAUGGAACACUAUUUCACAUCAUAAUACCAAAGGCAUUAGGGUGUCAAUUAAUGAAAAUAUUUUCUUUUUGUAAAUUUCAUGUUUAUGUUAUUUUUCAAUAUUUUAAAAUUUCUAACAAUUUUUCUCAUUCUUAGUAAAUAUUUGCACUUUCAAAAAUUACUUUAAUUUUAAUUUGUAUAGAUACAUCAAAUUUGGGAUUAAAUACACAUUGCUCCAAUAACUAAAUCUUUUUCAACGUAUAUUAUUCUAUAACACUACUGUGUUAUUUUCCCCUUAUUUCUUAUAUUUUGCUAUCAAAAUAGCACUGAAUUGAGCAUUCUCCUUUACAACUAAUUACUUAGCUAUUAAUUAUUUUCUUCAUUUUAAUACCUAGAGUUCAUCUAUUAAGGGAUCUGUAUUUAAGAAGAUACCUUGAUAAAUAUUGUAAAACUGCAAUCCUGACAGGUUGUACUGCUUUGCUAUUUUGAGGCUACAAAACUGGACAUUUUAUUAUACCCUGAUGAGUACUGGAUGUUAUUUUCUAAAACAUUUUCUCUGUUUGGCAAGAUAAAAGUGUCAUUUAAUCUGUGCUAUCGUGUAUAUCACAACAAUGAAUGUCAUUCCAUGUAUACUAUAAUGUGUUUUGAUCAAUGGUAAUUUGGAAAUUUUUGUCAUAUGCUAUUGGCAAUUGCAGUUCUUCUCUUGUGGAUUUUUUGAACAUGAACUUUCCAAUAGGAAAAUCAGAGUAAAUUGGUUUUCAAAACUCCCUAGAGCAUUAACAUCGUUUGUGAUAUCUAUGAAAAUUUUGUAUUGAUUUGUUAUGUACAUUUUUAUUUUACUUGUUUUAAAUUGUGUACAUCACUGAAAGAAAAGUAAACUAUAUUGUAGAUUUUUGUGGCUUAUUUUAAUUGUUUGAUGGAUAUAAGAUCCAUCUUGAUCCUGAGAUCAGACAAUAUUUUCCUUCAUAUUUCCUAUGUGUCUUAUGCUCAUGCAAUGGUGGGUGGGGGUUAUCAUUGUAUAUGUGUUCAUAUAGUUUGCCCUUUUUCUUAGCAAUUUUUAAAUAAUUCUUAUUUUUUGACAAUUUGUGAUGCUAUGAAUUUUCUACAAAUAUUUUGUUAGCUUAAGGUGUUCCCUCAGUGAUACUUCUGUUUUGACUGGCUGAAUUGUUCAUUGUUUUGUAUAAAAUUCAACCAUUUACAUGGAUUUAUAACAUGUUUUAAAAUAUGUCAAAGCAAGUUUCCCUUUGUUUUUCUUGACUUGUGGCACAUAUAUACCAUGGAAUACUAUGCAGCCAUAAAAAAUGAUGAGUUCAUGUCCUUUGUAGGGACAUGGAUGAAGCUGGAAAC